CCCUUGAGAGUGGCGAACGGGUGAGUAAUAUAUCGGAACGUGCCCAGUCGUGGGGGAUAACGUAGCGAAAGUUACGCUAAUACCGCAUACGAUCUAAGGAUGAAAGCGGGGGAUCGCAAGACCACGCGCGAUUGGAGCGGCCGAUAUCAGAUUAGGUAGUUGGUGGGGUAAAGGCUCACCAAGCCAACGAUCUGUAGCUGUCUGAGAGGACGACCAGCCACACUGGAACUGAGACACGGUCCAGACUCCUACGGGAGGCAGCAGUGGGGAAUUUUGGACAAUGGACGCAAGUCUGAUCCAGCCAUUCCGCGUGCAGGAUGAAGGCCCUCGGGUUGUAAACUGCUUUUGUACGGAACGAAAAGGUCUCUCUUAAUACGGGGGACUCAUGACGGUACCGUAAGAAUAAGCACCGGCUAACUACGUGCCAGCAGCCGCGGUAAUACGUAGGGUGCAAGCGUUAAUCGGAAUUACUGGGCGUAAAGCGUGCGCAGGCGGUUAUGUAAGACAGAGGUGAAAUCCCCGGGCUCAACCUGGGGACUGCCUUUGUGACUGCAUAGCUAGAGUACGGUAGAGGGGGAUGGAAUUCCGCGUGUAGCAGUGAAAUGCGUAGAUAUGCGGAGGAACACCGAUGGCGAAGGCAAUCCCCUGGACCUGUACUGACGCUCAUGCACGAAAGCGUGGGGAGCAAACAGGAUUAGAU
rnacentral:rRNA from 1 species